rnacentral:rRNA from 2 species
AAUGGGUCAGCGACUUAUAUUCUGUAGCAAGGUUAACCGAAUAGGGGAGCCGGAGGGAAACCGAGUCUUAAUUGGGCGUUAAGUUGCAGGGUAUAGACCCGAAACCCGGUGAUCUAGCCAUGGGCAGGUUGAAGGUUGGGUAACACUAACUGGAGGACCGAACCGACUAAUGUUGAAAAAUUAGCGGAUGACCUGUGGCUGGGGGUGAAAGGCCAAUCAAACCGGGAGAUAGCUGGUUCUCCCCGAAAGCUAUUUAGGUAGCGCCUCGUGAAUUCAUCUCCGGGGGUAGAGCACUGUUUCGGCUAGGGGGCCAUCCCGGCUUACCAACCCGAUGCAAACUGCGAAUACCGGAGAAUGUUAUCACGGGAGACACACGGCGGGUGCUAACGUCCGUCGUGAAGAGGGAAACAACCCAGACCGCCAGCUAAGGUCCCAAAGUCAUGGUUAAGUGGGAAACGAUGUGGGAAGGCCCAGACAGCCAGGAUGUUGGCUUAGAAGCAGCCAUCAUUUAAAGAAAGCGUAAUAGCUCACUGGUCGAGUCGGCCUGCGCGGAAGAUGUAACGGGGCUAAACCAUGCACCGAAGCUGCGGCAGCGACACUGUGUGUUGUUGGGUAGGGGAGCGUUCUGUAAGCCUGCGAAGGUGGCCUGUGAGGGUUGCUGGAGGUAUCAGAAGUGCGAAUGCUGACAUAAGUAACGAUAAAGCGGGUGAAAAGCCCGCUCGCCGGAAGACCAAGGGUUCCUGUCCAACGUUAAUCGGGGCAGGGUGAGUCGACCCCUAAGGCGAGGCCGAAAGGCGUAGUCGAUGGGAAACGGGUUAAUAUUCCCGUACUUGGUGUUACUGCGAAGGGGGGACGGAGAAGGCUAUGUUGGCCGGGCGACGGUUGUCCCGGUUUAAGCGUGUAGGUGUGUGUUCCAGGUAAAUCCGGUUCACUUUAACACUGAGGCGUGACGACGAGGCACUACGGUGCUGAAGCAACAAAUGCCCUGCUUCCAGGAAAAGCCUCUAAGCAUCAGGUAACAUCAAAUCGUACCCCAAACCGACACAGGUGGUCAGGUAGAGAAUACCAAGGCGCUUGAGAGAACUCGGGUGAAGGAACUAGGCAAAAUGGUGCCGUAACUUCGGGAGAAGGCACGCUGACACGUAGGUGAAGUGAUUUACUCAUGGAGCUGAAGUCAGUCGAAGAUACCAGCUGGCUGCAACUGUUUAUUAAAAACACAGCACUGUGCAAACACGAAAGUGGACGUAUACGGUGUGACGCCUGCCCGGUGCCGGAAGGUUAAUUGAUGGGGUCAGCGCAAGCGAAGCUCCUGAUCGAAGCCCCGGUAAACGGCGGCCGUAACUAUAACGGUCCUAAGGUAGCGAAAUUCCUUGUCGGGUAAGUUCCGACCUGCACGAAUGGCGUAAUGAUGGCCAGGCUGUCUCCACCCGAGACUCAGUGAAAUUGAACUCGCUGUGAAGAUGCAGUGUACCCGCGGCAAGACGGAAAGACCCCGUGAACCUUUACUAUAGCUUGACACUGAACAUUGAGCCUUGAUGUGUAGGAUAGGUGGGAGGCUUUGAAGUGUGGACGCCAGUCUGCAUGGAGCCGACCUUGAAAUACCACCCUUUAAUGUUUGAUGUUCUAACGUGGACCCGUUACCCGGGUUGCGGACAGUGUCUGGUGGGUAGUUUGACUGGGGCGGUCUCCUCCUAAAGAGUAACGGAGGAGCACGAAGGUUGGCUAAUCCUGGUCGGACAUCAGGAGGUUAGUGCAAUGGCAUAAGCCAGCUUGACUGCGAGCGUGACGGCGCGAGCAGGUGCGAAAGCAGGUCAUAGUGAUCCGGUGGUUCUGAAUGGAAGGGCCAUCGCUCAACGGAUAAAAGGUACUCCGGGGAUAACAGGCUGAUACCGCCCAAGAGUUCAUAUCGACGGCGGUGUUUGGCACCUCGAUGUCGGCUCAUCACAUCCUGGGGCUGAAGUAGGUCCCAAGGGUAUGGCUGUUCGCCAUUUAAAGUGGUACGCGAGCUGGGUUUAGAACGUCGUGAGACAGUUCGGUCCCUAUCUGCCGUGGGCGCUGGAGAACUGAGGGGGGCUGCUCCUAGUACGAGAGGACCGGAGUGGACGCAUCACUGGUGUUCGGGUUGUCAUGCCAAUGGCACUGCCCGGUAGCUAAAUGCGGAAGAGAUAAGUGCUGAAAGCAUCUAAGCACGAAACUUGCCCCGAG